UAAUAGUGGACAAUUAUGGAGUCCACGUGGGACUACCAAAAUCAGCCCCUUAUGACUCACGUUUCAUUGUAUAAGUAUGUGUUGGUGGUUGUUUAAUAGCCAAUCCUUCUUUUUCCUUAUUAAAUGAAGAGUAUGUAGACCCCGCAACUAUCUAAGUACUAGGAAACUUCAGAAUUCAUUACAGAUGAUUCAUUUCAAAUAUGUACUAGCAAAAAAAUAAAGUAAAAUAAUCAGCUAGCCUAGAGGCACCUUUCCACAUGGCACCAUUUAAAAAAAAAAACAAAUGACUCAUAUGCAUACAUACGGAUCUGGUGGCAAUAGUGGGACAUUCUCACAAUUCAUAAAUGUUAAGGUGGGCCCCACACUCCAAAUAAAGAAAAGAAAGAGAAUUCCUUGAGUUGACACCUUGCAACGUUUGUUCUCCUAAACUGGCAGCAACAUGCUAUAUUCUAGCAAUACUUUCACUUUGGAAUUCAUACUUUUACCUAGAUAAUUUUGUUGAAGGCCAAAGAAACGUUCAGCAACAUUCUUGAUAUAUAGAGACAUACGUAUAUUUCCUUCAACAUUUCAAGAAAAGGGCAGCAGCGUGGUAGGGGAAAUAUUUCUCCUUCAACGGAGUAAAAAUGUGAAAAAUUAUAAAAGGGUUAUACCCACUUCGGUUUCCUCCGUGUGAUAGCUUCGAAGUGAAGUAAGGUGAAAGAAGACUAAUUAUUGGUAUAUAAGAUUGGUGAAGCCCAAGACCUAAGUUAUGGUUAACUUGAAAAACGACAAGGUACAGAUACUCGAUUUGGUGAUCCUCCAGCUUAGGAUUUCCACUCAGCGGUCUUGGAGAGCUCCAUUGUUCCGGAGCCUAGACUUUUUG